CCAGGUUUUGGGCCAGGUGGACCAGGUCGAUCUGGUCGAUCUUGCUGGACUGGGCGAACUCCCGGGUUCCGCUCCGGGCUCUGGA
rnacentral:tRNA from 1 species